rnacentral:lncRNA from 1 species
CAAUGUUGAUUUGGGCGGCAAUAUACAUUUUAAGCUUUCUAUAUUUUCUCUCAAUCAAUCUCACACAAAACCCUAAAUCUCAACCGAUAGUAAAUCACGUGCUCAUCUGAUUUUGAGGAUGGCAAUGUGACGAGGAUGAUGACGACAAAUUACUUUCCAAUUUCUCUCUUCAAACCCUAAAUGCUUGAGCCGUUUUCCUCUGCAAUAUUCAAAUCGACGAUUUAGAGAUCUGAUUAUCCACGAUUCGAGAAUUAGGGUUUCUAGGUGACGGGGCGAUGGCAGCGAUAUGAGGGAUGGUAGUGUUUAUAGUUUCAAUAAAGGUUUGUAGGGGCGGUUGUUGGUGGCGGCAAUGAUGGGUAUUGUAGGCUAGGGUUAACGGCGCGAGCCUAACUCUUGUGACUCACUACCAUUCGAACCUUUGGUGGUUGACAACAAUGAGUAUUCUGG